UACGUAGGGGGCAAGCGUUGUCCGGAAUCAUUGGGCGUAAAGCGCGUGUAGGCGGGUCGGUAAGUCCGCUCUGAAAGCCCGGGGCUCAACCCCGGGAGGCGGGUGGAUACUGUCGACCUCGAGUCCGGAAGAGGCGAGUGGAAUUCCUGGUGUAGCGGUGGAAUGCGCAGAUAUCAGGAGGAACACCAAUGGCGAAGGCAGCUCGCUGGGACGGUACUGACGCUGAGACGCGAAAGCGUGGGGAGCAAACAGG
rnacentral:rRNA from 1 species